GAUGAACGCUGGCGGCGUGCCUAAUACAUGCAAGUAGAACGCUGAAGGAGGAUCUUGCUCUUCUGGAUGAGUUGCGAACGGGUGAGUAACGCGUAGGUAACCUGCCUGGUAGCGGGGGAUAACUAUUGGAAACGAUAGCUAAUACCGCAUGACAACAGUUAUUGCAUGAUAACUGUUUAAAAGGGCCAACUUCUCCACUACCAGAUGGACCUGCGUUGUAUUAGCUAGUUGGUGAGGUAACGGCUCACCAAGGCGACGAGACAUAGCCGACCUGAGAGGGUGGUCGGCCGCACUGGGACUGAGACACGGCCCAGACUCCUACGGGAGGCAGCAGUCGGGAAUCUUCGGCAAUGGACGGAAGUCUGACCGAGCAACGCCGCGUGAGAGAAGAAGGUUCUCGGAUCGUAAAGCUCUGUUGUAAGAGAAGAACGAGUGUGAGAGUGGAAAGUUCACGCUGUGACGGUAUCUUACCAGAAAGGGACGGCUAACUACGUG
rnacentral:rRNA from 1 species